AGGGAUUGUGAGAGGAAGUAAAAACAUAAGGAAGCAGGGCUUAUGGGAGGAAGUGAGGUCACAGAGGGGCUGGGGACCGUUGGACCUGGCACCUCCUCCUCCCUCUUGCUGUCUAGCUCAGGACUUCAGUGGUUCUGCUCUGCCAGCCUUCUGCACCAUGGUGUGCUGCUCCUCACAGGUCCUCAUGCAGUUGGACCAACCAACCAAGGACGGAAUCUUCCAAACUAUGUCAGGAUAAACCUUUCUCUUACAAACGGACCAUCUUCGGGGUUUGGCUAAGGUGAUGGGAAGUCACGCAGUUCUCUUGUCCUUUAAACAGGCGCCUGUUUACCUGGUCUGCCAAAGAGACCAAAGGAGAGUCAGGACGCUGCCACCACAUGUGGUCGGCAUAGUUGCUUUGUGUGAACCGGAAGUGCUCAAACUUAGCCAAAGAAAGUUUUCUCCUGUGGGAGAGAGGAGAGGAGAGGACGUGACUGAGUGUAAAGGGCUGCAUUUGAUGUCCAUGCUGUCUGUCCCCACUGUCUGCCACAUCUUCUGCUCCCACCAUACACUGGUUCUGGUGUGGUCCCUCUAGCCACAUGGAAGUCCUUUCCAAGAGGUGUGUGAUUUUCUUUGUGAAUCUAGGAAAUAAAACAGCUUUUUGACAACUUAAAGUUUUUUUUUGAAGCCCAUUAUCUCUUAUAAAA
rnacentral:lncRNA from 1 species